rnacentral:lncRNA from 1 species
UUAGAGUUCGAAUAAACUUGAUAUCAUUCGACUGAAUUCUAAGUAUAUGACUUAGAACUCUGUUGAUUUGGAAAUGUUUUGCCUUAGUUAUAUGUACUAAGGCGAUUGACUUAGCCCUAAGUAUAUAUAUUAGGGGUAGUCGAUAUUUAAUUUUUUUACUCUAGAUAUAUGUGGGUUCACGAUGAGAUUUGGGUAUUGGCUCAUGAGAUUUGAGUAUUGGCUUAUGAGAUUUGGUUCAUGAAUUUGGAUAUGGUUCAUGAAUUUGGUGUAUGGACUCGGUUCAUGAACUUGGAUAUGGUUCAUGGAUUUGGUGUAUGGAUUUGGUUUAUGAACUUGGAUAUGGUUCAUAGGUUUGGUGUAUGGAUUUGGUUCAUGAACUGGGAUAUGGUUCAUGGGUUUGGUGUAUGGAUUUGGUUCAUGAACUUGGAUAUGGUUCAUGGGUUUGGUGUAUGGAUU